UACGGGGGGGGCAAGCGUUGUUCGGAAUUACUGGGCGUAAAGGGCUUGUAGGCGGCCAACUAAGUCAGACGUGAAAUCCCUCGGCUUAACCGGGGAACUGCGUCUGAUACUGGAUGGCUUGAGUUCGGGAGAGGGAUGCGGAAUUCCAGGUGUAGCGGUGAAAUGCGUAGAUAUCUGGAGGAACACCGGUGGCGAAGGCGGCAUCCUGGACCGACACUGACGCUGAAAAGCGAAAGCCAGGGGAGCAAACGGG
rnacentral:rRNA from 1 species